rnacentral:rRNA from 1 species
UACAGGGGGGGCAAGCGUUGUUCGGAAUUACUGGGCGUAAAGGGCUCGUAGGUGGCCAACUAAGUCAGACGUGAAAUCCCCUCAGCUUAACUGGGGAACUGCGUCUGAUACUGGAUGGCUUGAGUUUGGGAGAGGGAUGCGGAAUUCCAGGUGUAGCGGUGAAAUGCGUAGAUAUCUGGAGGAACACCGGUGGCGAAGGCGGCAUCCUGGACCAACACUGACACUGAGGAGCGAAAGCCAGGGAGCAAACGGG